rnacentral:rRNA from 1 species
CCCUUAGAUGUCCUGGGCCGCACGCGCGCUACACUGAGUGUCUGAGAUACGAGUCUGCCUGGUCCGGCAAGGUCUAGGUAAUCGCUAAAAGACACAUCAUGCUUGGGAUAGAUUAUUGCAAAUAUUAAUCUUGAACGAGGAAUUCCUAGUAAGCGCAAGUCAACAGCUUGCGUUGAUUACGUCCCUGCCCUUUGUACACACCGCCCGUCGCUACUACUGAUUGGAUGGUUAAGCGAGGUUCUCGAACUGCUAGCGACUUAGCUUCGGUGAGGUCGCAGUGUGGGAAGUGAACCUAGCUUUGGUGUCUAGAGGAAGUAAAAGUCGUAACA